UACGUAGGGGGCAAGCGUUGUCCGGAAUUACUGGGCGUAAAGAGCUCGUAGGUGGUUUGUCGCGUUGUUCGUGAAAACUCACAGCUCAACUGUGGGCGUGCGGGCGAUACGGGCAGACUUGAGUACUGCAGGGGAGACUGGAAUUCCUGGUGUAGCGGUGGAAUGCGUAGAUAUCUGGAGGAACACCGGUGGCGAAGGCGGCAUCCUGGACCGGUAUUGACGCUGAUGCGCGAAAGCCAGGGGAGCAAACGGG
rnacentral:rRNA from 1 species